rnacentral:rRNA from 1 species
UACAGAGGUCUCAAGCGUUGUUCGGAUUCAUUGGGCGUAAAGGGUGCGUAGGUGGCGCCGUAAGUCAGGUGUGAAAUUUCGGAGCUUAACUCCGAAACUGCAUUUGAUACUGCGGUGCUUGAGGACUGGAGAGGAGACUGGAAUUUACGGUGUAGCAGUGAAAUGCGUAGAGAUCGUAAGGAAGACCAGUGGCGAAAGCGGGUCUCUGGGCAAUUCCUGACGCUGAGGCACGAAGGCUAGGGGAGCAAACGGG